CAAGCUGUUGUUCAGCCUCUCGGCACUGGGUGCCGGCAACACCGGGGAGACUCCAGAGAGGAAUGGAGAACCAGGCUUCCCCCGCCCCAUUCGGGGAAAAGGCCUGAGACUGAAACAGACACCAUGGAGCUUCCUGAGAAAAACAGAUGGAACUCCAGAGGAUCAAUGACCUAUGCACUGAGAGAGACAGCACCACAAUUAGACCCUGUUUUAUUGCACCCCAGAACAGCCCCCUGCUUGCCAAACUUGUUGGCUUGGCUCACUGGGGACCCAAGGUAGAAACAUCAGAGCAAAUGGCCCCUGAAUUGUCCUUUAAGUGUUGGUAGCUGGGUGACUAUCUGAAGCCAUUGUUUUUUCACGUGCAGACACCCUCUUCCUGGAUUAACCCCAUUUAUUCAUGCAGUAACACACCCCUUCACAAUGAUCAGACGAACAUAGGUAAGCCAGGAUACCCCACGGCUACUGAGGCACUGGGGAAAGGAUCUCAGGGGCAGAGCGCAUCUGCAUAGAUGCACCUACUCUGCCUAGGCAGUCAGCAGACAGACCUGCUUUGCCACAGUGAGGGGGGCCAAUGGGAAAUGGGAGCAGGGAAACCACAGGUGGGUGAAUAUCUGGUUUUUGACUGAGAGAAAUGCAGUUUAUUUGGUGCGUUUAGCGGAGGGGUGUUUGGUAUUCAAAUGGCACAAAGGCAAGCGUGAGGUAUGCAUACUAUAGGGCAUAUUGGGUUUUAAAUGCUCAGUACAAGCCCCUGGGCAUUCUGAAGGAAAAGCUACUGUGGUUACUUUGCAAACAUGAACCCUGCAUAGCCCCAUGAGCCCACAGAAACCCCCCUGAGCGUCCCAGGAAGCUUGGCCUUGGCCUGGAUAAUUGCAUUUGUGGGCCUCCGCCCUUGGGGCUGUGUCACAAGCCGGGGAACUCCAGGCUCCCGCCUGUCUCUCUACAGGCGUGUCGAAAAUUAAUGUUUGUUCAUGGUGUCACCAUUCUGAUAAACAGCUCUAAUUCCUGGAAACGCUGCCCCACCCAGCGGGGAAAAUGAAACUUAAAACUUACUUUCAUUUUUCUCUUUUUGUAUUCGUAGAUUAGAUCUCCCCCUCCACGGUUCACCGACCAGAGCUGCAUCAGGAAGAAAACAACUGGCUGUAAUCGAGCACCGCUGUCUGUAGCCAUGUUGCAAUUUGUUUUUUAAAAAAUGAGCUUUUAUUCCCUUGGCCACUUUAGCAAACUCAUGGGGUCCUUAGGCAAAGCUCCUCGGAAGCCAGGGCUCAGGGCACCGGUUUCUAAAGACUGAUGGGCAGCUGGGACAGCAGAGGAGGGAAAGACACCGGAGGCUCAAGCCUUGUCCACGCUGCACAGCUGUGUCCGCAAAAGGCAGCUUUUGCCGACAAAACGGUGGAGGUGGACACGUUGCAAAGCUCCUUUUGGAGGCAAAACUCUGCUGUUUUCUGACAAAAUAAAACUACCUCGAGGAGAGGCA